rnacentral:lncRNA from 12 species
CUUCUUGUGACCAUAACUUUCUGCUCUUUCUAUCCAGAUAGGUGUGCAGACUCCUGAAUAUAGCAUUUGGGCAGGCAGGCAUUCAAGAUCAUUUAGCACUAGCACUUGUGAUCAAGCCUAGCUGCUAUUCUGACUGACCCUGUUCAUUGGAUCACAAAAGGAGAACACUAUUCUUUUUUCUUUCCCCUUUGUGAAUACCUCCUAGAGCAAGAGAAAAAGGGCUCUGUUUCUUUCUCUUUGUAAAGUGAUGUCUUUGUCUGUAGGUGAUUCCUUACCUCUGAUAUUUGAUAUUUUGAUACCCCUUCAGAGUUUAUAUAAUAUUUUAAAGUGCACUUAAUCCUGAUAAUAGCCAUGAGUGAGAAGCGGGUUACAAAUUAUUACCUUCAUCAUAUAGAGAACACCAAGGCUCUGAGAAGCUAAUGAACUUAAGAUGACAGAAUCAGUAAAUGGCAUAGCUGGAAGUUGAAAAUUGGAUGCCUAACUCCAAAAUAUGGCAGUUAUUUGGAGACAAAUUCCACCAUUAAUAUGCAAUAUCAGAGAGAAGACUAUAGUCAUUGAUGGCACCUGACUACUUCAUGGAGGAGAUGUCAAUUUUCAAAGAGAAAAUAAGACUUGGAAUUGACAGGACACAGCACAAUCAAGUUCUAGUCAUGGUACCAUGAGCAAUGUGGCCCUUGGCUUUUUGUGUAACUUUGUACCUGGCAUCUACUCUGGGCAUAGCCUGCACUAGGAUCUAAGGGAAUGGGGAGAGAAUGCCAGCAGAGUCUCUUCAAGGCCUUUGGGGGAGGAGCUCCAAGUGGACUCCACUUUGCCACUUCUGGGCUGCCCCAGUCUUGCUCCAUUAUGGCCCCUCAGUGUGGAGCAGAACUUUUUCUCCAGCUCACCAGCUGACUUCUAUGGACAAGGCAUUCUCAGCCACACUGAGCAGGUCCAAAAAUGGUGGUGAGAAGCAGAGAUUCUGUAGUUCUGGGAAACUCACUCUAAGAUGGCAAGGGAAAGUCACAUCAAGCUAGAAUGUUCUAAACUGUAAACUGUAACUUUCUUUCCAACUGGCAAUAAACAGUGAAUGAUGCAUUUCA